GAUGAACGCUGGCGGCGUGCCUAAUACAUGCAAGUCGAGCGAACGGACGAGGAUCUUGCUUCUCUGACGUUAGCGGCGGACGGGUGAGUAACACGUGGAUAACCUACCUAUAAGACUGGGAUAACUUCGGGAAACCGGAUCUAAUACCGGAUAAUAUUUUGAACCGCAUGGUUCAAUAGUGAAAGACGGUUUUGCUGUCACUUAUAGAUGUAUCCCCGCUGCAUUAGCUAGUUGGUAAGGUAACGGCUUACCAAGGCUACGAUGCCUAGCCGACCUGAGAGGGUGGUUGGCCACACUGGAACUUAGACACGGUCCAGGCUCCUAAGGGAGGGAGCAGGAGGGAAUGUUCCGCAAUAGGGGGAAACCUUGCGGAGCCAAGGCGAGUGUGGGAAGGAAGUCUUCGGAUCGGAAAACCCUGUUUUUUGGGAAAAACAUAUGUAUAAGGUAACGAUGAGAGUUUGACGGUAACUAAUCAAGAAGCCCCGGCUAACUACGUG
rnacentral:rRNA from 1 species